UACGGAAGGUCCGGGCGUUAUCCGGAUUUAUUGGGUUUAAAGGGAGCGCAGGCGGAGGUGCAAGUCAGCCGUCAAAUGGCCCUGCUCAACAGGGUCUCGCGGUUGAAACUGCUCCCCUUGGGUGCACAAGAGGCAUGCGGAACUCGUGGUGUAGCGGUGAAAUGCAUAGAUAUCACGAAGAACGCCGAUUGCGAAGGCAGCGUGCUGGGGUGUUACCGACGCUCAUGCUCGAAGGCGCGGGUAUC
rnacentral:rRNA from 1 species